rnacentral:rRNA from 1 species
CACGUAGGCACCAAGCGUUGUCCGGAUUUAUUGGGCGUAAAGAGCUCGUAGGCGGUUCAGUAAGUCGCGUGUGAAAGCCCCCGGCUCAACUGGGGAGGGUCACGCGAUACUGAUCGACUCGAAGGCAGGAGAGGGUAGUGGAAUUCCCGGUGUAGUGGUGAAAUGCGUAGAUAUCGGGAGGAACACCAGUGGCGAAGGCGACUACCUGGCCUGUUCUUGACGCUGAGGCGCGAAAGCUAGGGGAGCAAACGGG